AAUAUUGGACAAUGGGGGCAACCCUGAUCCAGCCAUGCCUCGUGUUUGAAGAAGGUCUUCGGAUUGUAAAGCACUUUAAGUUGGGAGGAAGGGCUUCAGGCAAAUACCCUGAAGUUUUGACGUUACCACCAGAUUAAGUACUGGCUAACUCUGUGCCAGCAGCCGCGGUAAUACAGAUGGUGCAAGCGUUAAUCGGAAUUACUGGGCGUAAAGCGCGCGUAGGUGGUUCAGUAAGAUGGGUGUGAAAGCCCCGGGCUUAACCUGGGAACUGCUUUCAUAACUGCUGAGCUAGAGUACGGUAGAGGGUAGUGGAAUUUCCUAUGUAGCGGUGAAAUGCGUAGAUAUAGGAAGGAACACCAGUGGCGAAGGCGACUACCUGGACUGAUACUGACACUGAGGUGCGAAAGCGUGGGGAGCAAACA
rnacentral:rRNA from 1 species